rnacentral:tRNA from 1 species
GGGAAAUUAAUAAAAAUUACAUAACUUUGUCAAAGUUAAAUUAUAUGUUCAAAUCCUUUAUAUCUCU